rnacentral:rRNA from 1 species
UACAGAGGGUGCGAGCGUUAAUCGGAAUUACUGGGCGUAAAGGGCGCGUAGGUGGUUUAUUAAGAUUGAUGUGAAAUCCCUGGGCUUAACCUAGGAAUGGCAUCGAUGACUGAUAAGCUGGAGUACUGUAGAGGGUAGUGGAAUUUCCGGUGUAGCGGUGAAAUGCGUAGAGAUCGGAAGGAACACCGGUGGCGAAGGCGGCUACCUGGACAGCUACUGACACUGAGGCGCGAGAGCGUGGGGAGCAAACAGG